GAGUUUGAUCGUGGCUCAGAUUGAACGCUGGCGGCAUGCCUUACACAUGCAAGUCGAACGGUAACAGGUCUUCGGAUGCUGACGAGUGGCGAACGGGUGAGUAAUACAUCGGAACGUGCCCGACCGUGGGGGAUAACGAAGCGAAAGCUUUGCUAAUACCGCAUAAGAUCUACGGAUGAAAGCAGGGGACCGCAAGGCCUUGCGCGAACGGAGCGGCCGAUGGCAGAUUAGGUAGUUGGUGGGAUAAAAGCUUACCAAGCCGACGAUCUGUAGCUGGUCUGAGAGGACGACCAGCCACACUGGGACUGAGACACGGCCCAGACUCCUACGGGAGGCAGCAGUGGGGAAUUUUGGACAAUGGGCGAAAGCCUGAUCCAGCCAUGCCGCGUGCAGGAUGAAGGCC
rnacentral:rRNA from 1 species